CUGCUUGAUGGCAACGUGAACUAAAAGCCAAGCUUGUGCGCAUGCGUGCUGAAGUACUUCCUUUCCAGUCCAGCAAGCAUGACUAAGAGCGAAGAUUUGAAUUGGAAAUCGAACUAUUUCACUGCAAAGAAAACCAUCGACGUCCAUAAAGAUUCAGAAAUUGGAGACAGUGGAGGAACUAUUCGACCUUGACGAGUUGAUAAAAACUCAACCAAGCAAGAAAGAUUUGCUGACAGCCAGGCUCUCAAAGAUUGGUGGAUAUGACUUAAAGAGCUGUUUAAGCACCAUCAUGGACAGGCUCAUGACAAAUGAAUUAAUGUCCAAUCUGAACAUGAAGGGGAGAGGGGGAAAAAAAUAGCUUUGCCGAGAGAAGCUGCUCUAUUUAGUCGCAGCUAGUGUCUUGGAUACCCAGAAGGGGACCGAAACGAUGGUCCAUGAUGCCAUAAAAAAUAAACUGAAAUAUGCCCCUGGACGGAAGGGAGGAAUAGAAUGGGCAUCACAGGCUAAAUAAAUAAUUAUAUCGAUUGACAUUCUCCAUUUUCUUUGUACUUAAUGCAAAAUUAAAAUUAACAGGAUUCAGCCUGGAGCUAUAUAUGCA